UACGUAGGGUGCAGGCGUUAAUCGGAAUUACUGGGCGUAAAGCGUGCGCAGGCGGUUUGCUAAGACAGGUGUGAAAUCCCCGGGCUUAACCUGGGAACUGCGCUUGUUACUGGCAAGCUAGAGUGUGGCAGAGGGGGGUGGAAUUCCACGUGUGAGCAGUGAAAUGACGUAGAGAUGUGGAGGAACACCGAUGGCGAAGGCAGCCUCCGUG
rnacentral:rRNA from 1 species